rnacentral:rRNA from 1 species
GUGAGGAAUAUUGCGCAAUGGAGGCAACUCUGACGCAGCCAUGCCGCGUGCAGGAAGAAGGCGCUACGCGUUGUAAACUGCUUUUAACCGGGAAGAAACCCCAGGACGUGUCCUGGGUUGACGGUACCGGAGGAAUAAGCACCGGCUAACUUCGCGCCAGCAGCCGCGGUAAUACGAAGGGUGCAAGCGUUAUCCGGAUUCAUUGGGUUUAAAGGGUGCGUAGGCGGAGCGUUAAGUCAGUGGUGAAAUCCUGCAGCUUAACUGUAGACUUGCCAUUGAUACUGGCGCUCUUGAGUGCGCUUGAAGUGGGCGGAAUGUGCCGUGUAGCGGUGAAAUGCUUAGAUAUGGCACAGAACACCAAUUGCGAAGGCAGCUCACUAAGGCGAUACUGACGCUGAGGCACGAAAGCGUGGGGAUCGAACAGGAUUAGAAACCCGGGUAGUCC